CCUACGGGUGGCAGCAGUGAGGAAUAUUGGUCAAUGGACGAGAGUCUGAACCAGCCAAGUAGCGUGAAGGAUGACUGCCCUAUGGGUUGUAAACUUCUUUUAUAUGGGAAUAAAAUGUUCCACGUGUGGGAUUUGUAUGUACCAUAUGAAUAAGGAUCGGCUAACUACGUGCCAGCAGCCGCGGUAAUACGGGGGAUCCGAGCGUUAUCCGGAUUUAUUGGGGUUAAAGGGAGCGUAGGUGGGUUGUUAAGUCAGUUGUGAAAGGUUGCGGCUCAACCGUAAAAUUGCAGUUGAAUCUGGCAGUCUUGAGUACAGUAGAGGUGGGCGGAAUUCGUGGUGUAGCGGUGAAAUGCUUAGAGAUCACGAAGAACUCCGAUUGCGAAGGCAGUUCACUAGACUGCAACUGACACUGAUGCUCGAAAGUGUGGGUAUCAAACAGGAUUAGAUACCCGAGUAGUC
rnacentral:rRNA from 1 species